CGCGGUGUCUGGGAGCCGACGCGCCGCGGCGGUGUGUCGGGGCCUCCAGCGGGCUUAUACUGCCUUAUUUGCAUGGGACGGACGUCAGCCCUAGUGCAACGUCAUUUAUACCCUCUCAGGAUCCUCCCUCAGGAGGAGUUUUGAUAGUAGUCAGAGCAAAAGACUGGAGAGAGAGAGAAUGAGUCGUGAGGAAGAGCAGAAGGAGACAGACAGAGAGAGAGAGAGAGAGAGAAGCAGACUCCUGCUGAGCAGGAAGCCCAAGAUGGGAGCUCCAUCCCAAGACCUGGAGAUCAUGACCUGAGCCGGAACACGUUGGCACCCGUGAGCCAGGGUCCAACAAUAUAUACAUAUAUA